GAUGAACGCUGGCGGCGUGCCUCAAACAUGCAAGUCGAGCGGGGCUAUGUAAUAUCGCAAGGUAGAACAUAGCCUAGCGGCGAACGGGUGAGUAACACGUGGGUAACCUGCCUGGAAGACAGGGAUAACGAUUCGAAAGGGUCGCUAAUACCUGAUAAUAUCCUUUCAUCGCAUGGUGAUAGGAAGAAAGGGGAAACCCGCUUUCAGAUGGGCCCGCGUCCCAUCAGCUAGUUGGUAAGGUAAAGGCUUACCAAGGCGACGACGGGUAGCCGGUCUGAGAGGAUGUACGGCCACACUGGGACUGAGAUACGGCCCAGACUCCUACGGGAGGCAGCAGUUGGGAAUCUUAGGCAAUGGACGAAAGUCUGACCUAGCGACGCCGCGUGAGGGAAGAAGGCCUUCGGGUUGUAAACCUCUGUCAUGGGGGAAGAAGUAAGUGACGGUACCCCAAGAGGAAGCCCCUGCUAACUACGUGCCCAGCAGCCGCGGUAAAGGUAGUACA
rnacentral:rRNA from 1 species